rnacentral:rRNA from 1 species
UAACAGGAUUCCCCUAGUAACUGCGAGUGAAGCGGGAAAAGCUCAAAUUUAAAAUCUGGCGGUCUUAUGGCCGUCCGAGUUGUAAUCUGGAGAAGUGUUUUCCGCGUCGGACCGUGUACAAGUCUCCUGGAACGGAGCGUCAUAGAGGGUGAGAAUCCCGUCCAUGACACGGACCGCCGAUGCUUUGUGAUACACUCUCGAAGAGUCGAGUUGUUUGGGAAUGCAGCUCAAAAUGGGUGGUAAAUUCCAUCUAAAGCUAAAUAUUGGCGAGAGACCGAUAGCGAACAAGUACCGUGAGGGAAAGAUGAAAAGCACUUUGGAAAGAGAGUUAAACAGUACGUGAAAUUGUUGAAAGGGAAACGCUUGAAGUCAGUCGCGUCUUUCAGAACUCAGCCUUGCUUCGGCCUGGUGUACUUUCUGUUAGACGGGUCAACGUCAAUUUCGAUCGGCGGAGAAAGGUUGAGGGAAUGUAGCGUUGUUUCGGCGACGUGUUAUAGCCCUCUUCUGUAUACGUCGGUUGGGAUUGAGGACCGCAGCGCGCCUUUAUGGCCAGGGGUUCGCCCCAUGUACCGCGCUUAGGAUGUUGGCAUAAUGGCUUUAAGCGACCCGUCUUGAAACACGGACCAAGGAGUCUAACAUGCUUGCGAGUAUUCGGGUGGAAAACCCUUGUGCGUAAUGAAAGUAAAAGUUGGGAGCCUCCGCGAGGGGGUGCACCGACGCCCGGCCCUGACGUUCUCUGACGGUGCUGCGGUAGAGCAAGUAUGUUGGGACCCGAAAGAUGGUGAACUAUGCCUGAAUAGGGCGAAGCCAGAGGAAACUCUGGUGGAGGCUCGUAGCGAUUCUGACGUGCAAAUCGAUCGUCAAAUUUGGG